rnacentral:rRNA from 1 species
CAGUCGCCGCGGUAAUACGUAGGUGGCGAGCGUUGUCCGGAAUUAUUGGGCGUAAAGGGAGCGCAGGCGGACAUAUAAGUCCAUCUUAAAAGUGCGGGGCUCAACCCCGUGAGGGGAUGGAAACUGUAUGCCUUGAGUGCAGGAGAGGAAAGCGGAAUUCCCAGUGUAGCGGUGAAAUGCGUAGAUAUUGGGGGGAACACCAGUGGCGAAGGCGGCUUUCUGGACUGUAACUGACGCUGAGGCUCGAAAGCCAGGGGAGCGAACGGGAUUAGAUACCCCUGUAGUCCCUGUCUCUUAUACA